rnacentral:rRNA from 1 species
AACGAACGUUAGCGGCGCGCCUAACACAUGCAAGUCGCACGAGAAAGGGCUUCGGCCCCGGUAAAGUGGCGCACGGGUGAGUAACACGUGGUAGUCUGCCCUUGAGCGGGGGAUAACAUUCCGAAAGGAGUGCUAAAACCGCAUAAGACCACGGCUUCGAAAGGAGCAGCGGUCAAAGCUGGCCUCUGUACACAAGCUAGCACUCGAGGAUGAGCCCGCGGCGCAUCAGCUUGUUGGUGGGGUAAUGGCUCACCAAGGCUAAGACGCGUAGCUGGUCUGAGAGGAUGAUCAGCCACACUGGAACUGAGACACGGUCCAGACUCCUACGGGAGGCAGCAGUGGGGAAUCUUGCGCAAUGGGCGAAAGCCUGACGCAGCGACACCGCGUGAGUGAUGAAGGCCUUCGGGUUGUAAAGCUCUGUGGGGAGAGACGAAUAAGUGCAGCCUAAUACGUUGCAUGAUGACGGUAUCUCCUUAGCAAGCACCGGCUAACUCUGUGCCAGCCGCCGCCGUAAUAC